rnacentral:rRNA from 1 species
GAUGAACGCUGGCGGCGUGCCUAAUACAUGCAAGUCGAGCGAACGGACGAGAAGCUUGCUUCUCUGAUGUUAGCGGCGGACGGGUGAGUAACACGUGGAUAACCUACCUAUAAGACUGGGAUAACUUCGGGAAACCGGAGCUAAUACCGGAUAAUAUUUUGAACCGCAUGGUUCAAAAGUGAAAGACGGUCUUGCUGUCACUUAUAGAUGGAUCCGCGCUGCAUUAGCUAGUUGGUAAGGUAACGGCUUACCAAGGCAACGAUGCAUAGCCGACCUGAGAGGGUGAUCGGCCACACUGGAACUGAGACACGGUCCAGACUCCUACGGGAGGCAGCAGUAGGGAAUCUUCCGCAAUGGGCGAAAGCCUGACGGAGCAACGCCGCGUGAGUGAUGAAGGUCUUCGGAUCGUAAAACUCUGUUAUUAGGGAAGAACAUAUGUGUAAGUAACUGUGCACAUCUUGACGGUACCUAAUCAGAAAGCCACGGCUAACUACGUGCCAGCAGCCGCGGUAAUACGUAGGUGGCAAGCGUUAUCCGGAAUUAUUGGGCGUAAAGCGCGCGUAGGCGGUUUUUUAAGUCUGAUGUGAAAGCCCACGGCUCAACCGUGGAGGGUCAUUGGAAACUGGAAAACUUGAGUGCAGAAGAGGAAAGUGGAAUUCCAUGUGUAGCGGUGAAAUGCGCAGAGAUAUGGAGGAACACCAGUGGCGAAGGCGACUUUCUGGUCUGUAACUGACGCUGAUGUGCGAAAGCGUGGGGAUCAAACAGGAUUAGAUACCCUGGUAGUCCACGCCGUAAACGAUGAGUGCUAAGUGUUAGGGGGUUUCCGCCCCUUAGUGCUGCAGCUAACGCAUUAAGCACUCCGCCUGGGGAGUACGACCGCAAGGUUGAAACUCAAAGGAAUUGACGGGGACCCGCACAAGCGGUGGAGCAUGUGGUUUAAUUCGAAGCAACGCGAAGAACCUUACCAAAUCUUGACAUCCUUUGACAACUCUAGAGAUAGAGCUUUCCCCUUCGGGGGACAAAGUGACAGGUGGUGCAUGGUUGUCGUCAGCUCGUGUCGUGAGAUGUUGGGUUAAGUCCCGCAACGAGCGCAACCCUUAAGCUUAGUUGCCAUCAUUAAGUUGGGCACUCUAAGUUGACUGCCGGUGACAAACCGGAGGAAGGUGGGGAUGACGUCAAAUCAUCAUGCCCCUUAUGAUUUGGGCUACACACGUGCUACAAUGGACAAUACAAAGGGCAGCGAAACCGUGAGGUCAAGCAAAUCCCAUAAAGUUGUUCUCAGUUCGGAUUGUAGUCUGCAACUCGACUACAUGAAGCUGGAAUCGCUGGUAAUCGUAGAUCAGCAUGCUACGGUGAAUACGUUCCCGGGUCU